AAUCAAACCUCCUUGCAACUGAUAAUGUAUAAAUAAUGUAUAAAAACAACAUCAAGUUUCUAAGUGGUAAUAUUUAUUAGAAAAUGGUAAUUAUUCACUGGGUGGGUAUUCCAAAUAAUUCCACUUUGUAGAAGGGGGGAAAAAAAAAGAAAAGGGAGCUACAUUUCUCCAGCGAAAAACAAUGAAGACCAAGCAGUGGCCAGCAAGACCCUUCCUUUUGGCUCUGGAUGUUGCUUUUAUCUUCUAGAUUUAAAAAUACUACAUUUUUCAAGCACUACUAAUGUAGGUGGUUAACCAUCUUUUUCCACAGAAUUUUCUUUUUUUUUUUUUUUCAAUGAACUUCAUAUUUUUAAAGCAGGAGUCUAAAGGAGAAAUCAGAGUGUAAUUGGAAUAUUGUGCUGUAUUUUCUUUCCUGUGACUCUGUGUCUGUUUAGGUCAUCAGCUGCACCCUCAGUAUUAUUGUUGAUGAGAGCAGAGACACCAGGGGUGCAAAAUAUUUCUGUACCAAAAGAGAAUUCCCAAAUUAGGUGUGUAUACAGUCCCAACUCUCUGUUAACCUUUGGUUCUGCAUGGGGCAUCUUUAGUUCAUCUUGUAGACAAGACAGAUUGAAAAGGAGCCUCAAACUAAGGAGUAUGUUACAGCUAGACCUGCGAUAUUGCCAUGCCUGAAGAACAUGUGGUUGUGUAUUUAUUGGUGCAAGGAGUCACCUGUUUGUACAGCUACUUGAGACCCACAAGCCCAUGAGGAUGAAGGAACUGCAACUGUUGCUGAAUUAUGCUUCUUUCCACAGAUGAAGUGAUAAUAAGUAGAUGAGAGAAUAGAUGUUUCUGGUAUAAUUGAGAAUCUGAACAUCCAUUUCAUUGUAGUACUGUGUGCAGGAGGUACAGCAAUUGGCAAUUAUGUGAGUAAAACAGCACUGUUGCUUAGACAGUUAUUUCUCCAAUAUGCCUGAAUAUUUUUUCAUUUAUAAACCUAGCGCUAUUUUAUGGAGCAGAUGACCUAAGGAACAGAAGUUUGCAGAUCUUAAAACCUUCUGCACUAUGACUUGGCAGCUGAACCAGAAUGGCAAAUUCAGUUGAGCACCUCAAAGCUGAAUGCUGCUACACACUUGAACCAGCCUUUGCCAUCCUGGCCUUGAAGAGUUUGGGCCAUAGAAGAGGAAAGUACAAAGAUGCCAAAACAGUGCUUGACAAAGGAAAAUAUUGAACUGUGGAGAGAGGAGACCAGCACAGUGGACUCUGCUUUUGCUCUAGAGCUUACGGGUGACUUAUUUCUCUGGCCAGAAAGAAAGAAACUGUAGAUUUCUCUCAUAGCUGACUAAAGUAUUGGCAAAUGGCUGCAUCUUCUAAGCAUGUCUGAGGGGUGA
ensembl:lncRNA